GGGCUUGUCGUAUACUGGUAAUACAUCUGGCUGGCAGUCAGAGAAAAGGGGUUCGAUUCCCCUCAGGUCCA
rnacentral:tRNA from 1 species